CGAUGCCUAAGACAUGCAAGUCGUACGAGGUGGACCAUGAGAUUGAGUGCUUGCACAAUUUUCGGAUUUGGUUUUCCACCUAGUGGCGGACGGGUGAGUAACACGUGGGUGACCUGCCUUUGAGUUUGGGAUAACUACUGGAAACGGUAGCUAAUACCGAAUGACAUACAGUUUCGUUUCUGUAUUAAAAGAUGCUUUCAAGCAUCGCUCUUAGAUGGGCCUGCGGCGUAUUAGCUAGUUGGUGAGGUAAUGGCUCACCAAGGCAACGAUGCGUAGCCGGACUGAGAGGUUGAACGGCCACAUUGGGACUGAGACACGGCCCAAACUCCUACGGGAGACAGCAGUUAGGAAUAUUCGUCAAUGGGGGAAACCCUGAACGAGCAAUGCCGCGUGAGUGAUGAAGGUCCUUUGGAUUGUAAAACUCUGUUGUAUGGGAAGAACGACCAGAAUAGGAAAUGAUUCUGGAGUGACGGUACCAUGCCAGAAAGCUCCGGCUAACUACGUG
rnacentral:rRNA from 1 species